rnacentral:misc_RNA from 1 species
GAUGAAGAACGUAGCGAAACGCGAUAGGUAAUGUGAAUUGCAGAAUUCCGUGAAUCAUCGAAUCUUUGAACGCACAUUGCGCCUUCUGGUAUUCCGGGGGGCAUGCCUGUCCGAGCGUCAUUGCUGCCCUCAAGCACGGCUUGUGUGUUGGGCCUCCGUCCUCCUCCCGGGGGACGGGCCCGAAAGGCAGCGGCGGCACCGCGUCCGGUCCUCGAGCGUAUGGGGCUUCGUCACCCGCUCUUGUAGGCCCGGUCGGCGCUUGCCGACACAUCAAUCUUUUUUCCAGGUUGACCUCGGAUCAGGUAGGGAUACCCGCUGAACUUAAGCAUAUCAAUAAGCGGAGGA